rnacentral:rRNA from 1 species
CCUACGGGAGGCAGCAGUGGGGAAUAUUGGACAAUGGGCGAAAGCCUGAUCCAGCCAUGCCGCGUGUGUGAAGAAGGCCUUCGGGUUGUAAAGCACUUUCAGUGGGGAAGAAAGCCUUGGGGCUAAUACCCUCGAGGAAGGACAUCACCCACAGAAGAAGCACCGGCUAACUCCGUGCCAGCAGCCGCGGUAAUACGGAGGGUGCGAGCGUUAAUCGGAAUUACUGGGCGUAAAGCGCGCGUAGGCGGUCUGAUAAGCCGGUUGUGAAAGCCCCGGGCUCAACCUGGGAACGGCAUCCGGAACUGUCAGGCUAGAGUGCAGGAGAGGAAGGUAGAAUUCCCGGUGUAGCGGUGAAAUGCGUAGAGAUCGGGAGGAAUACCAGUGGCGAAGGCGGCCUUCUGGACUGACACUGACGCUGAGGUGCGAAAGCGUGGGUAGCAAACAGGAUAAGAUACCCUGGUAGUC